rnacentral:lncRNA from 13 species
ACUUCAGGGAGGAACUCGGCCGGCGGCUGCGGCCCCGAGCGCUUUCCCACGGCCACGCCCCUCGCGCCCAGAACUUCCCGGCGACCCCGCGCCGCCCGCGCGCCCCCUCGGCGCCAGCACCGGAGGCGGUCGCAACGCGGGAGGCGGGCAGCCCCGAGCCCGGCCCGGCCCCAGAGCCUUCGCCCCGCACCCCCGCGGAGGGGGGCGGUGUCCGAACCUAGCGGGCGGGCGGGGGCGUCCCGGGGCGCGGGCGCGGCGGCAGGUGGGCGCGCUCUCGCGGGCGGGGGUCCGGCCGGGCCGCGCGCCUCCCCCGGAACUCGGCCGUGCCAUUCCCAUGAUGCCCAGCCACGGGCACGGCUUCCGGAGCGCGGCCGCCGCCGCCGCCGCCCGGUAGGUCGCAGGGAGGGGGCGGCCUGGGGGGGUCGCCCCGCCCCCCGCCCCGCCCCUCCCCUCCCGCGCUUCCCACAGCGCGGCCCGGGCGCGGGACUCGGGGCGCGGGGCGCGGGGCGGGGGCGGCGGCGGCGCGCGGGGAGGCGGGGAGGCGGGGAGGCGGGGGCCUGGCCGGACGCCCCUGCGCCCCCUCCCCGCGCCCCGGCCGAGGGCGGAGCGCGCCGGCCCCGCAGCCUCCGGCCCGCCCCCCGCCCACCGCCUCCCCCGGGACGCGGGACGCGGGCGCAGGCGGGGUCGGGCGACCGGGGCCGGGCGGAGGUGAGCGGGCGCGGGACCGACGUUUUGGGAGGUCUGGGGGGGCUGGGAGGCCGGGGACAGGAGGGCGGUGCAGGCCGCGGCGGGCGGGCGGCCGGGGCUCCCGGGGCAGGCGGACGGGGAUCGGCGCCGGGGCUGCUCCGUUCCCGGGCAGGGGUCCUGGCUCCGGGCUCCGCGCGCCUCUCGUUCCGCGCGCCCCGCGCCCCGGGAGCCCCAGGUGAGGUGCAGGUGAGGCCUGCGGCGGGGGAGCCUGGGCCUGGCCCCGGGCGGCCGCUGCCCUUCGGGAAUGGCCGCGGCCCGGCGGGCCCGGGGACUGCGGUUCACGCCCUGCGCCAGGCGGAGCUUCCGGGAGGGUGGCCGCUCUCCCGGGCCCCGAGCUCCGGAGUCCUUGGAUCCCAGAGCCGUAACUCCGGGGAGCAGACAUGUCUGGAGGCCCGGCCUCUUCCCUGGAAGGCGUCCGUUCCCGCGGGGCUAGGUCCGGGUCGCCUAGCGUCGCGGCGGGAGUGA